GUGACCCCAGGAUGGGCGAGGCUA
rnacentral:rRNA from 1 species